UUGAAAGCUUGCGGCUGGUACGUCUGCUCGGCGCAGAAAUGGAAAUCGGGAGACGAAACCACAGAAAGGCAUUUUAAGUUAAUGAAUGUACUUCUGGUUUAAAACUGUGAAAAUGACCUUAAUAUACUGACAUUGACGUAACGUUUAAGUUCAUUAUGGCGUGUUUUUGACCCGAAUCGGUCACGUCCUACUCCUAGCAUAGCAUUUGUUCGGCGCUGACGUCACUCGUUGUUAUUGAAGUACAGUAUUUUGGAAAGGGAAAAGUUCCUGAGGAUGAGGGUCCGAUAACAGAGUGAUGAUUAUUGUUAUGAUGGUUUACACCGUCACGUUCCGAAAUAUUUAAUUAGCGUCUGAGGCUAAUUAAAUAUUUCGAACGUACCGGAGGGCACAUGCUCUCAGGUGCUCUUCAUUUGCGAAUGUAUUAGCUCCCACGUUCGGAGGAGUAGAAUAACCAAAUGGUUCUGGCAAGCACAGUAUUUUCAUGUUGAGAUAAGAUUUUCAAAAACUGAAGGAGAUCAGAUAGCACGUUGAAACGCAGAUCAGGAUGGCGCGCGGUCCAGGGUAAGAGAAGUAAGCAAAAAAGCAAACAGGAAAUCUAGCUGGGACCCAACAUGGACAAAAAUGGCAAAGUUCAAGCCGUGGCUGUACUACAAAAAUCAAGAAUAUGGACCAGUUCAGCAUGAUGACAUCACAGACUGAUGAAUGGGGAGUGCUGCUGACGGCAACCGUCGGCCAUUGCGUUGACAGUGCCCAUCUCAACAGCGAACUGUGAGAUUUUUCUUCAAUGAAAUGAGUGAAGACAGAUGUGAGGAACAGGGGGACCAUCUUGUAGCAUACCUCACAUUGACUAUAAAUGGACCACCUAUUGCCGACCCCCCCCUUUUUUUUUUUCUUUUUCUUUUUUUUUUUUUUUUUUUUUUAAAGUCCAGGAAAAUCAAGUGUUCCCAGGCAUGAUGCAAACUUUGCAAAUAGAUCUUUGUUAUGGUUCU